UACGGAGGGGGCAAGCGUUGUUCGGAUUUACUGGGCGUAAAGGGUGCGCAGGUUGACAAGAAAGUGAUUCGUGAAAUCCUAAAGCUUAACUUUAGAACUGCGUUUCAAACUACUUGUCUUGAGUAUUGGAGAGGUAAGUAGAAUUCUCAGUGUAGCGGUGAAAUGCGUAGAUAUUGAGAGGAAUACCAUAGGUGAAGACGGCUUACUAUCCAAAUACUGACGCUCAGGCACGAAGGCAUGGGGAGCAAACAGG
rnacentral:rRNA from 1 species